CCUACGGGGGACAGCAGUGAGGAAUAUUGGUCAAUGGCCGGAAGGCUGAACCAGCCAUGCCGCGUGAAGGUCAGUGCCCUAUGGGCGUUAAACUUCUUUUGUGCGGGAGCAAUAAUGGUCACGUGUGGCCAGACGAGAGUACCGUACGAAUAAGCAUCGGCUAACCCCGUGCCAGGAGCCGCGGUAAUACGGGGGAAGCAAGCGUUUACCGGAUUUUAUGGGUUUAAAGGGGGCGUAGGCUGUGUGGUAAGUCAGCGGGGGAAUGUCCCCGCUCAACGGGGUGAAGUGCCAUUGAUACUGGCUGGCUGGAAUGCGGAUGCCGUGGGAGGAAUGUGUGGUGUAGCGGUGAAAUGCAUGGAUAUCACACAGAACACCGAUUGCGAAGGCAUCUCACGAAUCCGCGAUUGACGCUGAUGCACGAAAGCGUGGGUAUCAAACAGGAUUAGAUACCCCAGUAGUC
rnacentral:rRNA from 1 species